GGCUCCUUGGUCAAGCGGUUAAGACACCACCCUCUCACGGUGGUAUCAGGGGUUCGAGUCCCCUAGGAGUCA
rnacentral:tRNA from 1 species